UACGUAGGGUGCAAGCGUUAAUCGGAAUUACUGGGCGUAAAGCGUGCGCAGGCGGUUAUGUAAGACAGGUGUGAAAUCCCCGGGCUUAACCUGGGAACUGCAUUUGUGACUGCAUAGCUAGAGUACGGUAGAGGGGGAUGGAAUUCCGCGUGUAGCAGUGAAAUGCGUAGAUAUGCGGAGGAACGCCGAUGGCGAAGGCAAUCCCCUGGACCUGUACUGACGCUCAUGCACGAAAGCGUGGGGAGCAAACAGG
rnacentral:rRNA from 1 species